ensembl:lncRNA
UUAUUACCGGCGCGGGCGGGGCCACAGGCCGGAGGAGGCGGGGAGAGGCGGGGUCAAGGCUCGGAGCGCACGGCAAUUGGCCGGAGGCGAGAGAAGAGGCGGGGCGGAGCGAAAGGAGAUGCUUCUCCCUCUGCACCUCCACCAUCGCUUGCUCCACUGCCGUCUCUGGGGGGCUCAUCCCGCCGCAGUUUCUCUACCUCCAAUAGCUACGGGAAGGCGAUUAAGAGGUGCCGCGGAGUCUUUAAGGGCUUGAUAGGUUCAGGCCGGCGCCUCAGUCUGCAAGCGCGAAGUCCGAGCUCAGGGCGCAUACUGGAAAGCAGUACUCUGCCCUGUCCUGAACUGGGACUUGGAAAUAGAAGCAAGACGAGAAGCGUGCAUGCACACGUGUGCAAUACAUACAUGCACGGGCACAAGCACCCUCAGUUCAGCCUUUUCCAAAAGCACGGGGUCAGUUCCUACCUGCGUGGUGCAUGCUGCGCUACUGCGCUGGAACUAGGGAUGAUGGGCAGAAUGGCUCCCCCUGAAGUUUUUCAGCCUUCGUUCGGGCUCAUGAGCAUCACAAGCAGGAAGUACGUGACACUUUAGUUCGAGGUCAUUCAAUCCUAUCGUGAAUGAAGGGUUCCGUUGGGGCUUUAAGGUGGGCGGGCCCAGUCCUGAGGAUCCUCUUUGUUUUGAAUGUUUUUAUUUUGUUAUUCAUGGAUUUUUUUUGCAUUAAUUUUAAUUUAAAAAAAUAAAAAUGUUGUUUAUCUUGAUCACUUAGUUUUUUGGUGCUCCCUUAAAUAUUGUGCCUGAAGUGAGUACCUGUUGCAUUUAGCAACACAGAAGUCACCUUGGGGAGUACAGUUUAAGUGGAGGACAAAAGCCUGAUUGGAAUGGUAAUAAAACCUACUUAUUAGGCUAUUUGUGGGGGUUAACUAAGAUAGUAUGUGUGAAAGAGCUUCUUGAACUAGCGAGGUUAUGCGCCAAGUCUUAUGGAUUUUGUCUUAAAUGUAUUUUUCUUCAGAUGCUUGUCCAGUUUAUCAUUGUAUUAACUCCAGCACCUAACCCAGUUGGAUUUUCAUAUACAGCUAUUAUGAAUUUGCACAAAUUGGGUUUACAUGACCUUUACUGCUUUCCUUUGUUCCAGAUUCGUUCUGGGAGAUUGAGAGAUUAUAGCAUUGCAUUGUGACUUUGAAUGCAGACAGACCACUGUCACUUACUAGCUUUGUGGUCUUAAGAAAAUCGUGUGAAAUGGGAACAAAAACCUACCACAAAGGAUUGUUAUGAGGGUUAAAAGAUACUGCAUUUCUAUAUACCCAGUAAAUGCUGUAUGCCAACUCUCUGCCAGCCUGUGCUGUAGGUGCUGGAGAUAGCAUUAGGUAAGAGAGAUGAAGGCCCUCCUCUCAUUGACUUACACAGGGGAAGAGGGAGCAGAAACAAUAAACAGUAUACAUAUGCAACCUACCAGGCAGUGUACGUAAACAACAUAUUCACAGCACCUGGUAUGUAACAAAUGCGCAAUAAAUGAUUGUUUAUUUGCAUUAUUAUUUCCAACCCCAUCUUCUUUCCUGUGUUCCAGAGCAGGACAUUUACUGUGUGCUUAUCACAGCCACUCAAUAUGUCCAAGGCUCAUUUUCCCCCCAAACACAUUCUUCCUCCUAUAGUCCCAAUUUUGGCUAAUGGUGACACCAUGUUUCCAGUUAUUAAAACUAGAAACUCAAGCUUUAUUGAGAUUUAACACACAUAUCAUUACAACUCACCCAUUUUUAAAGAAUACAAUUUGCUGGGCGCAGUGACACAUGCCAGUGGUCCCAGCUACUCAGGAGGGUUAGCUGGGGGAAUUGAUUGAGUCCAGGAAUUCUGGGCAGUAAUGCACUGUACCCAUGGGUGUCCACGAGGAUGGGGGGGACCAUCAAGUUGCCUAAGGAAGAGGACUCUGCCCAAGUCCAAAACAGAGCAGAUCAAAACUCCUGUGCUGAUUAGUAAUGGGAUCAUGCCAUUGCACUCCAGCCUGGGAAACAUAGCAAGACUCUGUCUCCUAUUAAAGAAAAAACAAAAAGAAAAAUAAAAGAAAUUAUACAAUUCAGUGGUUUUUAGUAUAUUCACAGUGGUGCAGGUAUCACCACAAAUCAGUUUCAGAACAUUUUGUCACCCUAAAAAGAAACCUUGGCAGGGGGCAGUGGCUCAUGCCUGUAAUACCAGCAUUUUAGGAGGCCAAGGCAGGUGGAUCACUUGAGGUCAGGUGUUAGAGACCAGCCUGGUCAAUACAGUGAAACCCUGUCUCUACUAAAAAUACAAAAAUUAGCCAAGCUUGGUGGUGCACACCUGUAGUGGUGCACACCUACUUGGUGGUGCACAUCUGUAGGUGCUUGGGAGACUGAGGCAGGAGAAUCACUUGAACCCGGCAGGCAGAGGUCGCAGUGAGCCAAGAUCAUGCCACUGCACUCCAGCCUAGGUGACAGACCAAGACUCCAUCUCAAAAAAAAAAAAAGAAAAAAAAAGAAAGAAAGAAAAAAAGGAAAAACAAAACAAAAAAACAACCUUGUACCUUUUAGCAGUCACAUUCCCCUUUCCCCCAAUUCAUGUCCCACCUCCAUCCCUGGGUAACCAUUAAGCUACUAUGUGUCCCUUUAGUUUUGCAAGUGAUCCUUUGGCCUCAACCUCCUAAGUAGCUGGGUCUACAGGCGCAAACUACCAUGCCUGGCUAGUUUUGCCUAUUUUGGACAUUUCAUAAAUACGUAGUCAUAUAAUAUGUGGUCUUUUGAGACUGGCUACUUUCACUUAGUAUAAGGUUUUCAAAGUUCAUCGUGUUGUAGUAUGUAUCAGCACUUUAUUUCCUUUUAUUGCUGAAUAAUAUUUCACUGUAUUGAUAUUUAAUAUAGCACAUUUAUUCAUUAAUUUAUAGACAUUUUCCACUUUUUGCCCAUUAUGUGACUAGUGCUCCUAUUAAUAUUUUUAUCCAAGUUCUUACAGGGACUUUUUUUUUUUUAACAGAUGAGGUCUCACUCUGUCACCCUGGUGAGGGUGUGGUAGCAUGAACGUAAGCUUACUGACACCUCAACUACUGGACUCAAACAAUCCUCCCACCUCAGCCUCCCAAGUAGCUGGGACUACAGGUAUGCACCACCAUGCCCAGCUAAUUUUUUUUUUAUUUUUUGUAGAGAUGGGGUUUCACUAUGUUGCCCAGACUGGUCUCAAACUCUUGGGCUUAAGAAGUCCUCCCAGCUUGGCCUCUCGAAGUGCUGAGAUUACAGGUGUACUGUGCCCAGCUUGUUUUUAUUUGUCUUGGGUAUCUACCUAGGAGUAGGUAGACACUGCGUCAUAUGGUAACUCUGUUUAACCAUCUGUGGAACUACCAGACUGUUUUCCAUAGAGACUACACCAUUUUACGUAACCACCAGCAAUGAGUGAGGGUUUCAAUUUCUCCACAUCUUUGCCAACACUUGUCAUAAUCAAUCUUCUUGAUUAUAACCACCCUAGUGAGUAUGAAGUGGUGUAUCACUGUGGUUUUGCUUGGCAUUUCUCUGAUGGCUAAGGAUGUUGAGCAUCUUUUCAUGUGUUUAUUGGCCAUUCGGGUAUCUUCUUUGAAAACAUGUCUAUUCAGAUCUUUGCCCAUUUUUAAAUUGGGUUGUUAGUCUUUUUAUUGUUGGUCAUAAGAGUUCUUACAUAUUCUGGAUACAAGUCCCUUUUCAGAUAUAUAAUUUGCAAAUAUUUUCUCCCAUUUUGCACAUUGUCUUUUCACUUGCUUGAUGAUAUCAUUUGAAGUAUAAAAGUUCUUUAAUUUUUGCUCUUUUUUUUCUGUUUUUUUUUUUCUUUUUUUUUUUUUCUUUUUUUUUUUUUUUGUGAUGGAGUCUCACUCUUUCUCCAGGCUGGAGUGCAGUGGUAUAAUCCUGGCUCACUGCAACCUCCGCCUACUGGGUUCAAGUGAUUCUCCUGCCUCAGCCUCCCAAGUGGCUGGGACUACAGGCAUGCACCACCACACUCAGCUAAUUUUUGUAUUUUUAGUACAGACGGGGCUUCACCGUGUUGGCCAGGCUGGUCUCGAUCUCUUGACCUCAUGAUCCACUCGUCUCAGCCUCCCAAAGUGCUGGGAUUACAGGCGUGAGCCACAGCGGCUGGCCUCAUUUUUUUUUUCUUAAGCCCUCCUCUCCCCAAUAUCCAAUUCAUCAUGAAUUUCACUGAUUCUGCCUUAGAAAUAUCUUUGGAAUGCACCCCCACCACCAUUGCCCUAUACAACCCUCUUGUUAUUUCUCACCUGAAUUUAAGUAAUAGCCUCCAAUUCUAUUCUUUUUUCUGCAUCCCCCCACAUCCUACCCGAUUUAUCUUCCAACUGCUUCCAGAAGGAUCUUCUUGAAACACAAAAUGAGCAGGUCAGACCUCUUUUGGUUCCUGGUCUGUACUGUAGCAGUUCUCACAUUCCUCUGAUAAGAAUACCUUGAGCAUUUAAAAAAUUCACAUUACAGGUCAUAAUCUGGACAUGAUAAAUAAGAAUCCCUAGGGGAGGAGUCUGGAAAUCUAGUUUUAAUAACCCCCCAAGUGAUUCUUUUUUUUUUUUUUUUUUUUUGAGACGGAGUCUCACGCUGUUGCCCAGGCUGGAGUGCAGUGGCGCAAUCUCGGCUCACUGCAAGCUCCGCCUCCCGGGUUCCCGCCAUUCUCCUGCCUCAGCCUCCUGAGUAGCUGGGACUACAGGCGCCCGCCACCGCGCCCGGCUAAUUUUUUGUAUUUUUAGUAGAGACGGAGUUUCACUGUGGUCUCGAUCUCCUGACCUUGUGAUCCGCCCGCCUCGGCCUCCCAAAGUGCUGGGAUUACAGGCUUGAGCCCGGCCCCCCCAGGUGAUUCUUAUUCUCAGAAUGGUUUAGCCUAUGGUGCUAAAGGAGGGGUGCGAUUUUGUCCCCCAGAGGACAUUUGGCAAUGUCUGGAGAUAUUUUUGGUUGUCACAACUGGAUGGAGCUGUUACUGUCAUCUAGUGGCAGCAGGAAUGCUGCUAAGCAUCCUGUAAUGCACAGGGCAGCCCCCCUCAACAAAGAAUUACCAGCCUCAGCCGGACACGGUGGCUCACGCCUGUAAUCCCAGCACUUUGGGAGGCUGAGGUGGGCGAAUCAUGAGGUCAGGAGAUUGAGAUCAUCCUGGCUAACACUGUAAAACCCCGUCUCUACUAAAAAUACAGGCGUGGUGGUGGGCGCCUGUAGUCCCAGCUACUUGGGAGGCUGAGGCAGGAGAAUGGUAUGAACACACGAGGCGGAGCUUGCAGUGAGCCGAGAUCGCACCAC